GACGAACGCUGGCGGCGUGCUUAACACAUGCAAGUCGAGCGGUAAGGCCCUUUCGGGGUACGACGAGCGGCGAACGGGUGAGUAACACGUGGGUGACCUGCCCUCAGCUCUGGGAGUAAGCCUGGGAAACCGGGUACUAAUACUGGAUAUGACUCCAUGACGCAUGUUGUGGGGUGGAAAGCCUUGUGCGGCUGAGGAUGGGCCCGCGGCCUAUCAGCUUGUUGGUGGGGUGANGGCCUACCAAGGCGACGACGGGUAGCCGGCCUGAGAGGGCGACCGGCCACACUGGGACUGAGACACGGCCC
rnacentral:rRNA from 1 species